CCUUUGUGUUUGCCACUAGGACAACAGAGAAAUCAAAACCUGUAUUGUUGUCUUUGUAUAUGUAUGUAAGGGUUCCUUUGUUGGGUGUGUUAUGAGAUCCUCUAUCAAAUCUUGGAAUUGAUAUAGAGGGCUUUUGUUGUUUGUUGAGAAGGAGGCAGUUUCGUUCUCUCUCUCGGUUUCGAGAUUUUUUUGGUUUUCUCAGCCUUCAAAAAAGAAAACCCAAAAACCGGAAGAGAAGAGGUAGCAAGCGAAGGCGAAGGGUAUUUAUAGGAGGGAAC
rnacentral:misc_RNA from 1 species